UAAGUAAGUGGUGGAAAUUAAACCAAAUGGGAUAUCUUUAGUAAUUGCGAAUGAACAAGGAUAUGCUUAGCUUGACAAAUGGAGCUAUUGGCUUUGAAUUGUAUUUGUGGAAUGUAUUACCAACAGAGGUGCAGGUGCCAGCCUAUUAAAUAAAGCGUCAAUGAGGGUGAGAAUCCUGUUUGUCAUGUGCAGCCCUUUGUGCACGGUGUAUAUUUGCUGAGUCACACUCCUUGGCAUUGGAAUGCAAAGUGGGUGGUAAGUUUCAUGUACAGGUAAACAUGCAAUUGAGACUGAUAGCACACAAGUACCAUGUGGGAAAUAUGAAAAGGACUUUGAAAAGAGAAUUAAAUGAGUUUGUAUGUGCUGAACACAAAGUAAACAGACUUGAUUUGCUUGGUGGGAGUGUUGCACUUGCUUGACAAGAGCUUUGGGCUGUGGGUGUAAUGAUUCUUUCUUUGCAUGCCAGUUUCUAUGUGUACAUCUGAUUACCUUUGCACAUGAAUGAUAAGUCUCCUGUGGGGGGUGGAUUGCAUGUGCAUGUAAUGAUUUGUGUUUUGAUAAAUGUGUCUGGUGUAUGUGUGUGUGUUCCUGUGCUUGGGGAUGCUUCCUUCCUUGGACUUACAAGCCCUGACACACACAUGCUGGCAAAAUGCUUCUGCUUGACCCG
rnacentral:rRNA from 1 species